UACGUAGGGUGCGAGCGUUAAUCGGAAUUACUGGGCGUAAAGCGUGCGCAGGCGGUGCUGUAAGACCGAUGUGAAAUCCCCGGGCUUAACCUGGGAACUGCAUUGGUGACUGCAGCGCUGGAGUAUGGCAGAGGGGGGUGGAAUUCCACGUGUAGCAGUGAAAUGUGUAGAUAUUCGGAAGAACACCAGUGGCGAAGGCAGCAGAUUGGGCCGGUAUUGACGCUCAGGCACGAAAGCAUGGGGAUCGAACAGG
rnacentral:rRNA from 1 species